AUGGCUCAGGAUGAACGCUGGCGGCGUGCUUAACACAUGCAAGUCGAACGAGGGUUACCGGUUGAAAUUUCGAAUGGAAACGGGUAAUACCUAGUGGCGGACGGGUGAGUAACGCGUGGGGAGCCUGCCCCAUCCCGGGGGAUACCAGUUGGAAACGACUGUUAAUACCGCAUAAGCGCACAGUACUGCAUGGUACGGUGUGAAAAAACCACGGUGGAGUGGGAUGGCCCCGCGUCUGAUUAGCCAGUUGGCAGGGUAACGGCCUACCAAAGCGACGAUCAGUAGCCGGCCUGAGAGGGCGACCGGCCACAUUGGGACUGAGACACGGCCCAAACUCCUACGGGAGGCAGCAGUGGGGAAUAUUGCACAAUGGGGGGAACCCUGAUGCAGCCGACGCCGCGUGAGUGAAGAAGUAUUUCGGUAUGUAAAGCUCUAUCAGCAGGGAAGAAGAUGACGGUACCUGCACAAGAAGCCCCGGCUAACUACGUGCCAGCCGCUGC
rnacentral:rRNA from 1 species